CAGCAGCGUUUCGGAGACCAGGGCGCCCAAAGUCGACCUUGGAGGAGAGGACCUUUACCGCCGCCUCCGCCCACACGACCCGGCGGGCAUUCAAUCUCUGUAUAUGACAGAUUAGGAGAAAGACAAAUCCCUCGCUUUGCUAGUUUUGAUUUCAAUCGACUAGGCGGGAUUCAUAGUCACUAUGCCAACGUAGAGGAGUGUAAACCAACCAAUGAUGGCAACACAAAAGACGGCAAAUCUCCACGUGCCUCCACGCUUCCCAGGCGUCCCCUCAGAGAUUUGUCUUUCUUGAAUAGUCUGCAAGAUAAUGUUUCACAGUUGAAGCCACAGACGAGUAAAUUGCUUCAAGAGAGCGGGAAGAAGAUGAACAAAGCAAUACAGGGCGUGAGGACUUCCUUAUCUUCUUUUACACAGUUGUUCCGCAGUUCAACACGACGUCGUUACAAACUGGAUGGGGGAACGCCAACACGCACUCCUCGGCGUACCCCAAAUCGUCCGCAAAGGCAAACUCCCGGUAAAUUGUAUUCUCCCUUUGAUGUCAGUACACCACGGACACCUCACAGCUUUCACAGAGGACCAAAGCGUUUACAAGUAGCAACUCC